rnacentral:rRNA from 1 species
AACGUAGGAGACAAACGUUAUCCGGAGUUACUGGGCGUAAAGGGCGUGUAGGUGGUUUCGUAAGUCUGGCGUGAAAUUUUUCGGCUUAACCGGGAAAGGUCGUCGGAUACUGCGGAACUAGAGGACGGUAGAGGCGUGUGGAAUUCCGGGUGUAGUGGUGAAAUGCGUAGAGAUCCGGAGGAACACCAGUGGCGAAGGCGACACGCUGGGCCGUACCUGACACUGAUGCGCGAAAGCAUGGGGAGCAAACAGG